AGAUUAAUUAUAGCAGGGGCAGUGGCAGAACAAACUUCUCCACAGUGCCCAUGUCCUUCAACCAUGGGCUGAAGGGAGCACAUCUGAUGGUCUUGGGAGAGGCAAAAUGAGAGUAGAAGAGAAGCAGGAAGUUUUAGAGAAAGGAGAGAAGUGCAGUGUAUUCCAUAUGCCUGCUAACUUCAGUCCCGAUGCAUGAAGGAACGAACUCCUCUCUCAUUACUGCUGCUUUCACAUAGACCCUGAUUCUAUAUUUGACUUUGUGGGUGGGACCAUAUUUGUCAAGGAGGCUUUACACUGGUGCAGGGAUCUGUCCAUAUGAAGUCAACCACAGGAUCAGGGCCCUAGUAUGACUCUUCACUGUGCAUUCUGUUGGUGAAAUCAUAUAUACCAUUGAAUUAUGCUGGAACCUGCCUAUUGGAAUAAUAUCACAGACUACAAGAAGAAAACACUACAUGGUCCUGCAGAUUACUCUGUUACUGUAUUUUGUACUGCUUGCUCUACCACUAUCUGCAGCAAGUGAAGAUGCUUCAUUGUUAUCAGUGCAUUUAUCCUGGCUUCUAAUCCUGUCUAAUGCAUUCACUUCAGCCUAUUUGAGAAAUAAUGAAACCAAUGAACUUCAGAAUUUAACAUACGUUGGGUCACCUUUUUCUAUAGUGCCGAGUUAUCAUAAUUUAAUGCUUUUUAUGACCCACAUAAGCAUGAAGCAUCCAAACUCUGUCUAAGAAUGACAGAUCUGCAGAACAACAUAAUACCAAACCAAAGGCCAGAGUUUCAGAGCAGACUGGAUUUCAGUGUGAUAUGGAUUUGUUGACUUUGCAGUGGGACCAUGGUGAAGCGCCUUGGCUGUGCAGCUGUGACUCCCUGGCCAUGUCCCUGUUGGGAGUGCUGCUGCCAGUCCAUGGCCAGCAUCACAGAGAGAGCUAACAUAUAGAUGUCGGGGAGAUGCCACAGGGGCCUGCACUACCACCACCACAACCUCGCCACCACCCACUGCUGGAGCGACCCAGAGGUGCUGACUGCACCAGCGGUGCAGCCUUGAUGGGACCUGCCUGUUCCAAAAGCUGGUGGUGGCCUUGGAAUGUUGGGUGGUGGACCAGAAGAUGCAAUCUCCUUGUCCUUGAUCCAGGGGUGGAUCUAGAGAGGUUGAAGUGGUGUGAUCUCUCCCCCUCUUUUGGACCAUGCUGCAGGAACAUCAGCCAGUACUUUGUUCAAGUCUCUGAAAUAGUUCUGCCCUUGCAUUGAUGUGAUUAUAUGGACCUGGCAAUUGCUACAAUGAUCUAAGGAUGUGACACAUCCAGGAUUCUGUGCUGAGGCAUAACACUCUGCACCUGCAUUGGAUGGAAUGAAGCCCAGAAUAUUUCUCUGUUAUGGUGACUGAGCUGACUCUGUGGUCUUAAAGCGCAGUUCCAUGUGACUAUAUAGAAAUGACUCCUUGUAUCCAGUUGACUAUACUGUCUCCUUUAGAAUGGACAAAUUCCUUCCUAGCUUAUAUUUCAGCUUUUUUCCUACUGUGAUGUCAACAAAACGGUAGAUGAGGAGAUAAGGCUGGCUGGCAUAAUUUAUUUAAACCUUUGAUAAAGUCCCUCACAAGAAAUAUUUAAGGAAACUAAGUAGCCAUAGAUUAAACACAGGCAUCCUGCCCUGACUUAGAAAUUCCUAAGAGACAGAAACUAAGCAGUUGAAAUAAUGGCCAGUUAAUAGCCUGGCAAAAAUUUAACUGGGAGGUGCCACAUAGAGGACCCAGGUUUGAAAAAACUGAGAGAAAGACUGGAAUAAUUUGGAGUAGCAGUAAGUCUACCAUUUUUUGAGAGGAGUCUUCUACCUGAUUGCCAUCUUACCACAUGAUACUAAGUGAAACGGUGAACUGUGCAUUUGAUCCAGAAGAACCAUGAAGGAGACAUGGAUAUAUUGGAAUAGUAUGAGGUGUUUUGGUAAGAGAAUAAAUCAUCUGACCCCAGCAUUCUUUCCUGCCUAGGCAGGGGGUCAGACUCGAUGAUCUGUUGAGGUCCCUUCCUACCCUAGCAUCUAUGAAUUUUAACAACUUGCGCAUCCUGAGAUCAGGAUGUAGGAUCAUAAUUCAACAUGGAAAAUAUUAUCUUGGUAUGAGAAGGAGGCCAACCCCUGGGAGGAGUAACCAGUAUUACCUAUAUCCAGUGACUGAAGGCAGAGAAGAUGUUGUGAUAAAGCAGGGUAUUGUAAAGGCAAUCUUGAAGAUACUUUGCAAAGUACUGAGGUCAGUUUAGAAAUGUAUCCAAAUUUCUGUCUUCUUUAUCACAUAGAGAAAAUGACAUCAAUGUGAAUGUAAAGAGUGUUCAAUUGGCAAAAAAUUGUGGUUUUGAUAUAUUUUUGGGAAAUAAAAAUUUCCUUCACUUGGAGCUUGCAACAAACGGCUUCUAAAUUCAUGUAGAUUAUUUUGAAAGGUGCGGAGUAAGUAUUUCGUUAUUUGAGAGUAACAAGGGAGUUUCCUCCUAGUUUAUCUGAGAAAGGUAUUAACAAUUAGGAGUUGCAACUGUUUCUCCUGAAAUAGUCUUAGCUAUGUGGAAUCAGAAAAAAUAUAUGCCUUAAACUUUGAUUAUUUUAGUUAUAAGAUGACAUAACUGCUUUGUGGAGAAUUGCUGGCUCUGUAUAAUAGAA